rnacentral:misc_RNA from 1 species
GCGAGGGAGUGUGACAAGUUGACCAAGAAAGCGACGUGAACGCACGCAAACGAGGGCGUUUGCUGGAUUAGGUGGGGGAGAAUGUAACGUUUCGGUAUUUCCCCACUCAUAUUCUUAGCAAUUGACAAGGUCAUCACAAGUUAACUCUUACCCUAAGGAUCUAACAAUUGUGAAUCUGUACAAGUACGUACAAGAAACCUCGAAGAUGCUUAAU